CCGGCUGCGAGCGCCCGGGAAUUGCCGCCUCCUGGCAGCGGUGCGGCUGUUCCCGACGGGGAGUUGAGAAGGGCGGCUGGGAAAACUGUGUGCUCGGGGUUCUUGUAGGUGUCACGCAGAGUUUAGCACUUUCAGAGCGGCCGCUUGGCUGUGGAUACACACUUGGUGGGGAGGCAAAGCCAAAAGGCAUGACGUGCAGCCGUGGCUAUAAAAAGUAAAAGCGCUGUCAGGGUUUGCCCAGCGCGCCGUGAGCGAGUCUUUGGCCCGGGACUGAAGCUGUCAGGGUGCCUCCUGAAAGCAAAUCAUUUAAUUUAAUGCAAUUUUAAGGGAAAAAAAUCUCGUUUUCCAGGUUGAUUUGCGCGCGUUGCGGGAGCAGGGCUGUAGCUGCGCCCUUUAAACAGGCACAGAAAGUUCCGCUCCGUGCCUGGGAGCGCUCAGUGCUGGUACUGCCGCUGCCUUCGGUAACGGGAGCAUCCGCGGAGCUGAGGGUGCAAGAGGAGCGGAGAGGCGUCUGAAAAGAGACCCGAGGGCACGGGGACGGUCUUAUACCGCAUACGGAGGUCUCUUUGAGAGCAUCUGGAAGACAGUGAGGGACAAAUGUUAUGAAAGCCGCUUGAAAACAUCAUGCUGUGCUUUGGGAGCAGGUGAUUUUCUUAGGUACAAGUUGUCCAUGACUUGUUCCUGUUUCACCUAUGCUGCUGGCUUUAUUUUGGAAUUACUCACUUUCUCUUAAGUGAUAUUUAUAAUGGAUAUAUUAAUAGACAAUAAUUUAAGACUUGCUUAAAAAAUCUAGAUCUAUGUGACUGGUUAAUUCUGUGAGACCUGUUCUGGCUUGAGAUUUAGAACAACUGUAGAGAUGUUUCUUUUUUUAAAGUUAUCAGAUGUUUCAUUGGUUUUGUGGCACUACUCUGGAGUAAUGCAAGCUUUCUGGUGAGAUGCUAUGGGCUCUAAUUCAUUGCUACUUUGUCUGCUUGGAACAGAUUAAGUUUUAAUAUUAUUAAGUUUUAAUAUUAUUAAGUUUUAAUAUUAUUA
rnacentral:lncRNA from 1 species